UACCGCAUAAGCGCACGGGAACGCACGUUUCUGUGUGAAAAACUCCGGUGGUGUAAGAUGGGCCCGCGUUGGAUUAGGUAGUUGGUGAGGUAACGGCUCACCAAGCCGACGAUCCAUAGCCGACCUGAGAGGGUGACCGGCCACAUUGGGACUGAGACACGGCCCAAACUCCCACGGGAGGCAGCAGUGGGGAAUAUUGCACAAUGGGCGCAAGCCUGAUGCAGCGACGCCGCGUGAGCGAAGAAGUAUUUCGGUAUGUAAAGCUCUAUCAGCAGGGAAGAAAAUGACGGUACCUGACUAAGAAGCUCCGGCUAAAUACGUGCCAGCAGCCGCGGUAAUACGUAUGGAGCAAGCGUUAUCCGGAAUUACUGGGUGUAAAGGGAGCGUAGACGGAUCUGCAAGUCUGAUGUGAAAGGCGGGGGCUCAACUCCUGGACUGCAUUGGAAACUGUAGAUCUUGAGUGCCGGAGAGGUAAGCGGAAUUCCUAGUGUAGCGGUGAAAUGCGUAGAUAUUAGGAGGAACACCAGUGGCGAAGGCGGCUUACUGGACGGUAACUGACGUUGAGGCUCGAAAGCGUGGGGAGCAAACAGGAUUAGAUACCCUGGUAGUCCACGCGGUAAACGAU
rnacentral:rRNA from 1 species